rnacentral:misc_RNA from 1 species
AGAAUAGCAAAUGUUGUUUCAUUUUGUAGAUAAGUGUAGCUCACUGACUAUCUAGUCAGUCUGCCCACUUUAUAGUAAUGGUAACUCAAUUGCAAAUAGGUAAAUAAUUCAGUCAAUCAUCCUUAUUUUAUCCUGUUAUCAUUUGUUGAAAGAAAGGGUUUGCUUUGUAGUUAUUUACUUUCUGCUUUGCCAAGCAUCAAAAUCUUCAAACCCUAAUUCUGGAUCCGUUUUCAGUUUCUGAUUGAUUGACCAAUCUGAUUUUUGUUUGUUUGAUUAUAUGCCCUGAAAACAUUUCAUUAUAGUUCAAGUGCUUUUUGUACUAAGCACCAUGCCUCAAGAUAACGAUCAGGAAUAUUUCAGAAAAGCUUUUAAUAUUCGAAUUUGGCAAGCUUGGAAUUUUGUGGAACCAGCCUUAAAGUGUUUCAA